UGGAAACACUAACUAGUACCCAGUCUCCGAAAUUCCCCGGAAAAUUUAAAUGUUAUGAAAUUUUUACACGUGGAAAUGUUUUGAGGAAAAAAUGGCCAGAAAUGCAGGCAAAAGAUGAACUUUUUACGGCUUUAAGAACGCAAAUAGACAGAGCUAAGGAAUAUGUUGAUAGAGCAUUAGUUUUGGAGACGAAAAGCAUCGAUGGAGCGGGCAAAUUAACCAAGAGAAUUCGGGCUGAACUAAAAUUUUUGAAUGGGGUAUGUUGAAAUUUUUGGUGAUAAU